AUUGAACGCUGGCGGCAGGCCUAACACAUGCAAGUCGAGCGAGCGGCGGACGGGUGAGAAAUGUCUGGGAAACUGCCUGAUGGAGGGGGAUAACUACUGGAAAAGGUAGCUAAUCCCGCAUACCAUCAGAUGUGCCCAGAUGGGAUUAGCUAGUAGGUGGGGUAACGGCUCACCUAGGCGACGAUCCCUAGCUGGUCUGAGAGGAUGACCAGCCACACUGGAACGGAGACACGGCCCAGACUCCUACGGGAGGCAGCAGUGGGGAAUAUUGCACAAUGGGCGCAAGCCUGAUGCAGCCAUGCCGCGUGUGUGAAGAAGGCCGUCGGGUUGUAAAGCACUUUCAGCGGGGAGGCGUUACCCGCAGAAGAAGCACCGGCUAACUCCGUGCCAGCAGCCGCGGUAAUUC
rnacentral:rRNA from 1 species